rnacentral:rRNA from 1 species
AUUGAACGCUGGCGGCAGGCCUAACACAUGCAAGUCGAGCGGAUCGACAGACGGGUGAGUAAUGCCUAGGAAUCUGCAUGGUAGUGGGGGAUAACGUCCAGAAACGGGCGCUAAUAACGAAUACUAUCAGCUUAGCCUAGGUAGGAUUGGCUAGUUGGGGGGGUAAAGGCCUUACAAGGCGAAGAUCCGUAACGGGUCUGAGAGGAUGAUCAGACACACUGGAACUGAGACACGGUCCAGACUCCUACGGGAGGCAGCAGUGGGGAAGAUUGGACAAUGGGCGAAAGCCUGAUCCAGCCAUGCCGCGUGUGUGAAGAAGGUCUGCGGAUUGUAAAGAACUUUAAGUUUGGAGGCGUUACCCACAGAAUAAGCACCGGCUAACUUCGUGCCAGCAGCCGCGGUAAUUC